ensembl:lncRNA
GUUGUUUUUGUUUUUAAGACAUCCUGAUAUUUUAAUGGCUGGGAGAUUCAUCCAGUAUCACAUAAUUUUUCUAAAAUUGACAAAAAAAUCUAUUUCAAAUUAUGUUUUAUCAGCUUGUUUUUAUAAAACCAACUUCAAAGUGGCCUUUCCCACCCAAGGUCCUCUAUCCCCAAUAAUGAAGAUCAGACAUUAGAGCAAGAAACUAACUGAACAGUUUCCACUGCCUGGCCCACAAGCUUGGAUAGGAGAAUUACUUACCUUAGGUUUCCUUUAACACACUUCUUUUAAAAUAUACAGUUCUUUCCAAAUCCUGGAGAAUGUCUGUUAGGACUUGUCCUUCUCAGGCAAGUGUUUCAAAAUUUCAAAUACAUUUUUAAAAACAGGUCAUAAUCAGGCAGUUGCCCUAACCAAGAGGCACAUAAGAGAAUCAUUUGCAAGUCUCUGGCCGGACCUUGGGUCCUGGAGGGCAAUGACCCUGAUUUCCCACAGCAGAGCAUGAGGAGUGAGGGACCAAGAGCUACAUCUUCCCUUAGGCAGGUACAGACACACACGUGCUUCCUUGAAAAUAGCAUCCACCUCCCCGCCGCCUGUGCCCUGCCUCCCUACAGCAGCCCCGCCUCUAAUUCCAAUGCUAGAGUAGCCACUAAAGGCUUUGCGUCUUUUUCACCAUGAAGGAGUAUUUUGAGUCUAUUAUAAGUAAUCAAGAUUAGGUAGAAACUUGGAAAGUAUGUUAUAUGUGAUAAAAGCAACAAAAUAUAAAAUGUACCAUGUCUGUAACUAUGUAGAAAAUAUAUGUCCAUAUAGAAAGCAACAGUAAAACAGUAAAGCAGGAGUUCCUGUUGUGGCUCAGGGGCAACGAAUCUGACUAGGAACCAUGAGGUGGCAGGUUCGAUCCCUGGCCUCGCUCAGGUAGAUCAUGUCAGAGUGUUGUUGUGUAUCAACAGUUGAGGAAAAAAAUGACACCAAACAAACCUGACCAUCAAGUUGAAAAUUCUACCUUUGCAAUUGAAAAGGUGGUAUUUUACAAUGUUAACUUCAUCUACCCAGUAUUUGAUCCAUUUAAAUGUAUACUGGCAACACCUUAACUGUAACCCUCAGUUACUAAGUGAAAAACAAAAACAGAGUUCCUUAUGCACAAGAUCAUUUUACAGACACACUGUCAUUUCAGUGAUGUCCUCAGGCAAGCCUGGGGCAGGAUUUCCACAUCUGGUGGUCACAACGUUAGUGCUCCUGGUUUGGACAGCGCCGUCAUUAGGCAGGAAAUACAUACGACAAUGAUGCAAAGAAGUUAGGAAACACCAUACACAAUGACUGUGUAUUUUUAACCCCAAAUGGUCUGUUAGCAGAACAAGGAGGGUGAAGAAAAAUGUCACUGGCCAUUCUGGGAACAGAAGAGGUCGUACUCAUUGGACUGCUGUUCUUUGAAUCAAUUUCAGAAAGUGACAGAAGAUAGCAUAGAAAAAAAAAUGUGCAUUCAGAAAAACUGAUAUUUAAUCUACUUCAGAUAAGCCUUUUGCAGGCCUCAAAGGCUGAAGUCCAAGUUUGGAGAUCAUGAUGCUGAGAGCAGAGAAGUGGUAGGCAUGACCCCUUUUGCACCUCUGCAACCAAUUCCUCAGCCUAUCUGUGAGUAUAAUCCACGACUCAAAAUAUAAAACAAAAAACGGACUGAGACUGCUUCAUUUUGGCUGCAUAAAAGACAUGGCUAAAGAGUGCUCAGCCACAUACUACAGACACAAUAAAGUUUAGCUGAGGCAAAUUUCUUUUUUUUUUUUUUUUUCCUUUUUAGGGCUGCACUUGUGGCAUAUGGAAUUUCCCAGGCUAGAAGUCGAAUCAGAGCUACAGCUGCCAGCCUACACCACAGCCACAGCAAUGCCAGAUCCAAGCCGACUGUGCGACCUACACCACAGCUCACAGCAGUGCCGGGUCCUUCACCCACUGAGACUGAAGCUGCGUCCUCAUUGAUACUAAGCGGGUUCUUAACUGCUGAGCCACGACAGGAACUCCCCCGACAGGGCAAAUUUCAAUGUUUCCUUUGAUAAGAAGUAUUGAGCCUGACAGACGCUAGGCGCUGAGAAAUACAAAUAUGAAAAGUUACGGGCCCCAGGGAGCUCCCAGGCCGGUAAGCACUAAAAUCUCAUAAUGCAAAAACCCCACAUCAUACUUGUGUCUUCUGUUAAAGAUAACAUUCUAAGGUUUGCUUUUUGGGAACAGGAACUAAUGACAGAUGAUGAACCAACAGAAAACAUGAUCUCCUAGAACAUGAAACUGCCUGCUUUAAUUCUGUCUUUUCCACAAGCAAGCAUAUAAUUAUCUCCCUAAAGGCUGAGAGUA